GACGUAGGGUGCAAGCGUUGUCCGGAUUUAUUGGGCGUAAAGAGCUCGUAGGCGGCUUGUCGCGUCGACUGUGAAAUCCCGCGGCUCAACCGCGGGUCUGCAGUCGAUACGGGCAGGCUAGAGUUCGGUAGGGGAGACUGGAAUUCCUGGUGUAGCGGUGAAAUGCGCAGAUAUCAGGAGGAACACCGGAGUGGCGAAGGCAGGGUCUCUGGGCCGAUACUGACGCUGAGGAGCGAAAGCGUGGGGAGCGAACAGG
rnacentral:rRNA from 1 species